UUUGGCACCUCGAUGUCGGCCCAACACAUCCUGGGGCUGGAGAAGGUCCCAAGGGUUCGGCUGUUCGCCGAUUAAAGUGUUACGCGAGCUGGGUUCAGACCGGCGUGAGCCAGGUCGGUCCCUAUCUUCCGUGGGCGCAGGAUACUUGAGAGGGUGUCUCCCUAGUACGAGAGGACUCGGAGGCACGUGCCUAGGGUGUACCUGUUGUCGCGCCAGCGGCACCGCAGGGUAGCCAAGCACGGAAAGGCUAAACGCUGAAAGCAUCUAAGCGUGAAGCCCUCCUCAAGAUGAGGUAUCCAGGUCCGCAAGGACGAGAGGACCCUGGAAGACUACCAGGUUGAUAGGCCGGGCGUGCAAGGACCGAGAGGUCUUUAGCCUACCGGUACUAAUGUCCGAUCACUUGACCACAA
rnacentral:rRNA from 1 species